rnacentral:rRNA from 1 species
UACAGAGGUCUCAAGCGUUGUUCGGAUUCAUUGGGCGUAAAGGGUGCGUAGGUGGCGCGGUAAGUCGGGUGUGAAAUUUCGGAGCUUAACUCCGAAACUGCAUUCGAUACUGCCGUGCUUGAGGACUGGAGAGGAGACUGGAAUUUACGGUGUAGCAGUGAAAUGCGUAGAGAUCGUAAGGAAGACCAGUGGCGAAGGCGGGUCUCUGGACAGUUCCUGACACUGAGGCACGAAGGCCCAGGGGAGCAAACGGG